CUGUUGCCUUGCAUAGCUGACACCGCUGUGACUGGGUGAAUCGGUGUAUGGAUAGGUACCAAAGGCUGAAGGAAUGGAUGAAUACAAGGCAAUAAAUGUAAAGAGCUUUAAUUGACCCCAGGUUUGAAAAGUGCUGUAGAAAUGCAGUUACACUUCACACGAAGAGAGCCAGUCAGCGAAGGAGAGACAGAAAAACAGACAGGCAGACAGAGACAGACAGACAAGAAGAGGAAGAGAGACAAACAAGCAGGGAAAGCGCGAGAAAGACAUGAGAUAGAGAGACAUACCCUGUUGGUGACUGAACUGGUUGGUCUGGGAGGCAGUGGACACAGGAACCUGGAGAUCAUAAAAAAAAUAUUCAAAACACACUCCUACCAGUAGGUUCCUACCUGUCUAAUGUCCACCUGUAGGUUCCUACCUGUCUAAUGUCCACCUGUAGGUUCCUACCUGUCUAAUGUCCACCUGUAGGUUCCUACCUGUCUAAUGUCCACCUGUAGGUUCCUACCUGUCUAAUGUCCACCUGUAGGUUCCUACCUGUCUAAUGUCCACCACUAGGUUCCUACCUGUCAAAUGUCCACCUGUAGGUUCCUACCUGUCUAAUGUCCACCUGUAGGUUUCUCCUACCUGUCUAUUUGUCCAGGGGCAGGUUUUAUCUUGGCAUGAGAAGAAGCAGGCUCAGACACCGGAGAGGAGUUCUGUACAGUGGACAGAGCAUGAAUAAGUACUGGACAUGGAUAAGAUUAUUAACAUUAAAUAACUUUAUUAUUACCAUUACUAGAAUUAAACCUAAAUCAACAUAACAAAUAUUAUUAAUUAGUAUAAUCAUUAACAAAAUACUAUUAUCAGCAUUACUAUUAUUAGUCAACAUUAUUAACAUACUAUAUAUAAUAAAAAUAUCAUUAGCAUAAUCAGCAGACAGACAGACAGCCGGUAGAACAACAAACGGCAUACAGAUAGACAGGCAGUCACAGACAAUCAGACAGACAGACAGGUAGACAGACCGGUAGACUAGCAGAAUGACAGACAGGUAGACAAGCAGAGGUUGACAGACAGACAGACCAGCUCCUGGCUGAGGAGGCGUGCCAGCCUCUCGUCCUCCUCAAGUUUCUCCUCUUGCCGCCUUCUCUCCUGGGCCAAACGCAGCUCCUCCUCCUGCAGGAGGAGCUGGAUGAACUCCUCACUUGCCCUGCUCUCCGCCUCCUCCCCCACACGACGCUCCUCCUCCAGCUGCACACACACACACACACACACACACACACACACACACACACACACACACAC
ensembl:lncRNA